CAAACAGCCGCACCCACGUAAAAAAAACGCAGCCUUCCCGACAUGUGGGACCAGCCUUCGAUUCCCUUCACCUCCCACGCUGCUCCGAUUGAUCUGUGCUCGCCCCUGUGAAGUCGCCAGCCACCUCCAUCCGCCCUAGAGGGUCCCCUGAUCUGUGAGGACGUCUGGGCGUUGCGGUCGAGGAAAACGCAGCCGUCGCGGAUCCUCCAGGUGCUCCAGCAGCGGGGGUUGGCCAGGAGCGAGCAGGGUAAGGGAGAAAGGAUGAGAGAAGUCGACGGAGCCGGCGUGUUGCCAGGCGCUGAGCACUGACGGAUCAGGCUCUGGCUCCCUGGCCUUUGCCCCCUCUCUUUCUCACCUCCGCCAGCGCCAGGGUCCCAGGGAGUUCACCGCUACCGGUGAAAUCUCCUCCGUCGCCUGCUCCAGUGAGAUCUCCCUCUCCACCACUGCGAAGGACACAGGUCUCACUUCUCUUAGUGGAACAGCCCGAGAUGUAUUGUGCGCACUGCAUUUUGUGUUGCUGGUGAUUGCUCAUGCGUGCUGAGUAUUCCCUCCGUUCCAUAAUGCUUGUCUCAAAUUUGCCUAAAUAUGGAUGUAUGUAUUUGUAAAAUGUGUCUAGAUACAUGUAAUAUUCUGACAAGAAUUAUGGAACGGAGGGAGUAAUACGUCAUUUUGUUUGUAGAAAGUAAUAGCUGUGUGCACUUAUUUUUAAUCAAAUUCUCUACUAAUUCUUCUGGUUAUAUAGAGUUGCUUGAGGCAGAUUUGGAUUUUGUUAAAGUUGAACUUACGAAUUCGAUUACCGAUGAGCAGCCAGUUUGUCUAUUUCUCCUGUUUUGUGGGUGUCUGAUCACAUGUUGUCAAAGAUAUCAGCAUGUUCUUAGCGUUUUAGUUUAUAUUUUGAACAAUGUGUUGCACCGAAGAUAAAUAAAUACUGAGGCUCAAUUAUGUGUGAUCUGAGUAAGAACGACUCUAUUGUGUGUCUCCAUAGGUACAAUUAUUCUUGUGAUUUGUCAUUACAAUAAAUCUUAUACUCCCUCCGUCCCAAAUUAACUGACGUGGUACAAAUCCACGUCAGUUAAUUUGGGACGGAGGGAGUAUUUGAUAUGUGUCUUGCGCAUUGAGUAAAGCAUUCAAGCCUAAUUGGCAAUAUUUGGUUGUUCUCUCACACAAGAUCGAAGGGAUUGUAAGUUCAAAGACAUGAUAUGCAAGUGAUUAAAUGUCUUUUUAUAUGAAGCUUACGGUGGAGCAAGGCGACACCUGAGCAGAGCACACCUCCCCUUUUUGAGAUGUGCCAUGUUCUUAUUUCCAAUUUUGAAUUUUGCUUCUCAGCAUCUUCUGUCACUCGUUGUGAGACAUUGAUACCCACACAAAUGGGUUUCCUCUAAGUACCAACCAAGGGCAAGCUAACACUUCCGGUGCUGUCAAGCGUCUGUUACCAUGGUCUAUAAGUAUGCUGAAAGGAGUCAGGUUGGUGUUCAAACCCCAGGUGAUCCCAUAUGUCAAGCAAUGCUGCAAAAUCUGGAAGAACCAUUGAUCUGCACAAGGUUGGUUGUAGUCUCUCACCUCCAGUUUUCUCAAUUCUCACUUAAUUUAUUUCUUGUUCCUGAUGUACCCUAUAACCACAGAUUUGGUCUAUAGAAUUGUGAGUGUCAUUAGAAAUGUGUUGCUCCAUACUGCUGAAUGAUGUUCAUUAUACCACCAAACUAUCAAAAGUAUUAAGAGGUGGCACACUGGUACUUCGUGUUGUGCUGUCAUGUACAAGCAGUCACAGUACAUGAUUAUUUAUGUUGGACACCUCUCUGUUUUGCUCUUUAUAUACGGGAGAGGGUGUUUCACUUAGCUUACAGAAAAAUUCUUCAAGUACUAUUGAUCCUGUUGUCAGGACUUGUAGCUAUUCUCCCCCUUUUCCCAUGUACGUACAGUGUCAAAUAUCUGUCAGAGGAUGAAUCGAUACUUGCUCCAGUAACCAUGGUUUAUAUUUAUGAACCACAGGUAUGUUCAUUUUUUUUUUGCUAUUUCAUCUGAAACUCUACAUACUGUAACUUCUGAAAGAACAUCUUUUUCUUCUUUCUACCAGUAAGAUGAAAGUUUGCACUGUACAGUAAUGAUCUACCUGGAGUGUCAGUCGCUCUUCAUGUACAGAAUUCUUGGUCAUGGUUAUAUUUACCAUUGGGUGUAUGUUUGUAUCAUGCAUUAUCGAUACACUAUUCUUGUGAGCUAAGAGAACACAACUGGACUCUCUGUGAACAUUUUCUGUACUGUAUUCUGUAGUUGUACCAUAAGGUUAACGGGAUGUUAAAUGUUUUGUAUCUUGUAGCAUAAAUUUAACUCAAUAUACCAAAUGUAUCUUGUUUCUUUGUAAAUCAGACUGACUCUUCCGCUGGUAAAGAAGCUAGGAUACAAGAUGUUGAAGCUAAGUUAACUCACUGACAUGCCACAUGUAACCGCAUUGCACAGGUAUGCAUAUAAAAAUUUUAGACACAAGGUUCUUGUAUAAUAUUCUAGAAAGCCUAUUUUCUUUUCUCUGUAAUAUGUUUCGUCACGUUAUUGUCCUUUUUGGUUCUGUUUUGCAAGGUAUCUUAAGACUAAGCCUUUGUCCAGAUAUUUGUAUGGAACCAUUGUUGGUUCUUAAUUAGCUUGAAGCAAAAGUUUAAGACUUUCGGGAUUUAAGGAAAACAAAUAUGGAUCGCAGAGGUUGGUUUUUAAUUUGAUUCUUGAUACACAACAUCAACCUGAUUUUUGGUUUUCAGCUUGAGAGAGUUUUCUCAAUCUUUAAGUUUCUUGAGGAAAAGUAAAGAACGGAGUUCUGAACUGGAGCAAAGAAUUAUCAAUGCAGUAAAGGUAAACCUUUUGACUUAUGAUACGGAGUAGGUAUUAAAGUCAUCAUCUAACUAUUGUUCUCUCAUUUUUUGAAUCUUUUGAUGGUUGAAAAAGUUGUUCUCGGCAAAGGAUGCUGCAGCGGCUAAUGAACAGAUUUAUUUAGACUUGAUUACAGGGUUGGUCUACUGGAGUACUUGCGAAUGAGUAUAUUGGAUUGGUUUCCCUCGUCAAGGGGAUGCUAUAUGUGGCAUGUUAUUUUUGCUAUUCGCCCAUUUUAUGUACCAGAUGGGCCUUUUUUGAACAAAUCUUUUGCUUUAUUUGCAAAGUAAACUUACUUGUGUACCACUCGCAUGUGAGCUCUCAAUUCAUUGCCAAUCUAACUGGAUAAAUUUUUUUGAUCCAGAAUUCAAUGCCAAUCUAAUGAUUUUGUUGUUC